UUGAUUAACAAGUGUUAAGACGGUCAGCGGGUACCCAUAGACACAACUGAUAUUAAUUAACUAACUUUAAAUUAAUAUAGAAUACUUAUAAGUGGUAGUGUAUAUUUAUGUUUUAAUCGUUGUUAACAUGGAUCGACACAAGAGAUCUCGGAGAUCCAAUAGCACAUCAUCCUCAAAUUCAAGUUUACAUUGCAAUGUGAACAAGAAGAAAAGAUACAGGAGAGAAUUGAGAAGAAGCAAUCAACAUAUUGAAUCGUUGGAAGGUCUUGUUAAGAACCUGUGGGAUAGUCAAGAUAAUUAAGGAGAAUGGUCCUUGGAAAGUUUAUGAUCAUUACGGACAAUUGUAUGCAGAAAUAUUUUUACCAUUUGAUAAAACUCUGACGAAAGACCACCAACCUCUGGAAGACAGAACUAAACUAAAAUAUGUUCAAAGACACGGCCGAACGACUUUAGAUCCAGUCGUGUCGUCAGUUAGAGAUAAACUACUUGAUGACUAUCGCGUGUAUAUGGCCACGUUAAGUACGGAUGUAAAGAAAGGACAGAUUGUCGAUGAUAUAGCAAAUGGACCCAAUAUACUCAGAGAACGAGACAGUAAUAAAGCAAACGACAACACAGCGACAUCCCAAGAGACUUCAAUCAGAGACUUAGAUUCAGAACCUGACAAGAAUGAAAAACUGAUAAGAGAACUGAAAGAGAGUAUGAACAUAAAAGGUAUAGAUGUAACUAUUUUACCUGAUAAACUCGUGACGUCUGAUCGAGAUGACAGUAAAACGGAUGAAAGUAAAAACGAAGAAGAUAGAGAUGGAACAGAAGAUAGCUCAACAGAUGAUCAUGAAGAAGAGAAUGAAACUGCUGAAGAACGUGAAGAAACUACUCCAAGUAAGGAUAAUACAAAUGAAUCCAGUGAUGAUAGUGAUAAAACUCUUAUAAUGGAUGGGAUUGACGAUACACAACUAGAUAAAAUUGGUGAUAUACUAAAUAUGGAGAGACAAAAGACAGAAAAACAACAGUCAACUGAGACAGAAGAUGAAUAUGUUACAACAACGAAACCAAGAAGAAAAAAAACGACAAAAACUACAACACUGGAACAAUUCAAUUAUGAUUUUGUAAAAAAAACUACAGCCCAUGUAAAUAAAUUUACACAGUCAGCGUUAAGAAAACACAAAUCAUCAACGCAUAGAAAAUUGAAUGUCAAGAGAAUUACAAAGAAUCGAAUCACAGUAAGCGGAAAAUAUACGACAAAGCAUAAAAGGCUUCACGCUAACAAACUUACAAAGAAAUCAAAGAAUGUACGAGAACUAGAACCUACAACAUAUAAAAUUGAUGAAGAAGCGGAAACAAGCUCUGAAACUACAUCAGUACAAGUGAAUAUAAAACGUACGCCACAAACUACAACCACGAUGCUGCCAUACUUCCAAAUGAUUGUUGAUCUGGAUGAAGGGCAGCAGAAGCAGUAAUCAGCUCAUGUCCAGUCAACUGAUGGUAGCGAGGUUGACUUGUCAACGACACACGUACUUACGUAUUGUCAUGAGCAUAUAGUUCACAUAUGUAAACUACGCUAAUUCUAUUGAUAUUCUUGCAGAAUACGCUUCGAAAUUGAAUAAAAAGAUAAGUGGACGUCACCAAGAGCUAUCUUCUGAAGUCAACACCAUCAUAGACUAUGCUGAUAUGUUGUAUGAUGAUGAAGAAGGCACGAAGCUCUUCAAUAUUCUCAAAGAUUUUGAUGACUAUCCUAACACUACACGACCAGGCUAUACAGUAUGUUUGGCAUUAAUAGAAAGCUUCCUAAAGCCGUAUCAUCGGCUCAGUAAUACAGUUCUACGUCAACGAUUGUUAGACUCUAUUAACUUUGAGCUAAAAGCUAUAAUCGCUCAACCAGACCUGUGGAAGAUUGAUGAAGAUUUGGGAUUUUUAGGUUUUAAAGAAGCAACCGAACAAACCCCGUCUGUACAAUCAGACAGCGACACCACAGUCUCAUUCACAAGGAAAAAACAAAAGAAAUUGACACAGAAUUUACUAAAGCUGAAGUCGAAAGCAAAACAUCCGACUAUCAAACGAAAACACACAAAUGUCCAGCCAAAUUACAGCAAUGAAAAUGUUUAUAGACGUAGAUUAAGUUAUACAACUGAAUCUCAGUACAAUUAUCCUUUGUUAAGAAAUAUGAAGCCGAUCACAAGUAUACAGAGACGGUACAAAAUUGUUACUCCGACACAUCGACACAUGUUAAGGCACAGGUCUACACGUAGUUAUAUAGUAAACCUAAUCAGUAGACCCACCAAGGAGUUCACAAAUAAAUUAUAAUAUUAUAAAGCUAAGAAUCAAGCGCAUACUAGAUUUCCAUUCCUCAAUGAGACAGCACGAUUUCGAACGCAUUUGAGGCACAGAGACUAAGAUCACAGGAUUGAAAGUGUUCAUAAUAGAAAUGCGAUUAGCUAUCAGAAAAAUAAAACAUACUUUUACAAUCAAAUGAGGGAUGGAAUUAAGCAACUAGCAACUGUUACAAAGACUGAAAGGCUUAAGACGAUUCGCAAUGAAAGCAUAACGUCAGAUCAAUAACAAUAAGAUAGGCAAAGGUGACUAGAAAGUGUAAGUCUAGGAGAGUCGUCGACAUGAAUGGGCCGGCUCGACCGGACUGAUACCACGGCCCAGCAGA